rnacentral:rRNA from 1 species
CGACCUGGCUCACACCGGUUUAAACUCAGAUCAUGUAAAAUUUUACAGGUCGAACAGACCUAAUCUACUAGCUUCUACACCAGCAAMUAAUUUUAAUCCAACAUCGAGGUCGCAAACUUUUUUUUCGAUAAGAACUCUAAAAAAAAUUACGCUGUUAUCCCUAAGGUAAUUUCCUCUUAUAAUCUAAAUUAAAAGAUCAAAAAAUUACACAUUAGUAUUAUUACAAGAAAAAGUUAAUCUAAUUUUUCUGUCACCCCAACAAAAUAAAUAAAAAAAAGGCCAAAUUCAAAUUCCAAACUAGUCCCAUUUAAAUUAUUUAUAAAACUCUAUAGGGUCUUCUCGUCUUCUACAAAAAUUUAAGCUUUUUCACUUAAAAAUAAAAUUUUAAUCUAUUUCCCCAGAGACAGUCAUUUUUUCAUCAAACCUUUCAUACAAGCUUUCAAUUAAAAAACAAAUGAUUAUGCUACCUUUGCACGGUCAAAAUACCGCGGCCAUUUAAAUAAUCAGUGGGCAGGUCARACUUGAAAUUUAAAUCUUCAAGACAUGUUUU